rnacentral:rRNA from 1 species
GACUGCCGGUAAUAAACCGGAGGAAGUGGGAUGACGUCAAAUCAUCAUGCCCCUUAUGACCUGGGCUACACACGUGCUACAAUGGUUGGUACAACGAGUUGCGAGUCGGUGACGGCGAGCUAAUCUCUUAAAGCCAAUCUCAGUUCGGAUUGUAGGCUGCAACUCGCCUACAUGAAGUCGGAAUCGCUAGUAAUCGCGGAUCAGCACGCCGCGGUGAAUACGUUCCCGGGCCUU